rnacentral:SRP_RNA from 2 species
GCCGGGCGCGGUGGCUCACGCCUGUAAUCCCAGCCCUUUGGGAGGCUGAGACGGGUGGAUUGCUUGAGCUCAGGAGUUCAAGACCAGCCUGGGCAACAUAGUGAAACCCCGUCUCUA